AGCACAUUCUGGUAGAGGGCGAACCACUUAUCGUGCCACUUGUUGUUCUCGGACGUCCGCUUGCUCAGAUCUCAUUUAGGUCAAACCUCAGUGAAGAUAUUUGAGAGAAGAAGCGGAAUGAAAACACGACCAGAGAGCGACAUUUACAUCUGUUUACAACUGGGUGGCUGCACGUGUUUGUACACCACAGUAGCGGCUCUGGAACAGGAAGACCGCGAACCAGCGGGGCGGGAGUACCCUUCUCCUCCGCCCUUGCCUGGACACUGGGCAGACCGGCUCCAUGACCCGGCUGGAAAGUGCCACGGGGCUGGAAAUAGCGAUUCAAAGAUGAUUGCUAUAUUCCCACGUCACUGCGAAGACUAGCCCAAACUCAGAAACUUUAACCAACUUUGAACUGAACAAAAGUUAUCUCGCGUGCAACGCGAUGCGACGAACAGUAAUCAAGAACGCGAUGAAGGAAGGAAUUGUAUUGAUCAUUGUGUGAACACCGCGCUCCCCUGUGUGACCUCUCCCUCAAUUACCAUGUCACUCAGGGUUGGUGUCAAAUGUUCACUGAAACUCGCCCUCAGAUUAUGCUCUCCGAGAACGGAACUGGUAAAGGGUGAGCCAACAAAAUACUAUUCUCGGAUGCAGGAAGGAAGGGCUGCGAAUUCAGAAUUACAAUUUUAACAUCGUUUCCAGGAAGAAAAUGCUAGAAGUGUAUUGGAGAACCUUUAUGCUAGAAUAAAGCACUGUGACUUGUGUUACUGAAGUAUAUAUACACGUAUAUUGAUGAUACGUCUCUACCAAAGGAGAUGUAAGGUGCUCCUUCUAUCUGUUAGCCUACAGGUCACCCUUGGGCAAGGUGUAGCACCUACUUAGCCCCCCCGAUCAGGGUCACAUGUAGCCAUGGGAGCAGGUGGUGGAUAGCCGUAUGAGCAGCUGGUGCGUAUCACAAGUCCUGGUUUUUCAACCACUGACACCAGGCAGACAAUCUCUGAAGAGUAUCGAUAAUGGCUGGGGUCACCCGUCUUAUAAAGACACUGCCCAGAAGAUGGCAAUGGCAAAUGGCAAACCACGUCUGUAGAAAAAUUUGCCAAAACAAUUAUGGUCGUGGAAAGACCAUGAUCUCCCACGUCAUACGACACGGUACACAACGAACGAUGUACAGAUACACAGUAGGGCUUCCCAACAUAGGAUCCACAGACCUCUCAAGAUAAUGGUAAGGUUCACUGGCAUAAGAAAAAGUUGGAACCCCUGACUUAUAUAAAUGUAAAUGUUCAGUGAAUUUCCCAGUAAUUACUACACAGUUGCUUCUGUAUGUUUGGAAAAACUUUGGAGUUUUCAGUAGUUGGUGUCAUGCCACUUGAAUCUGGCUAUUUUACUGAUUGUUGUUAUCACUGGAACUUGCUAUUAUUUCUAGUCUGAGUGUGAGGCAACCACGUUUGCUUUUCUGAAUGUUUUUUUCCCUUUGUUCUGUCAGUGCUUUUUUUUCUUGUCCUUAUUUGCUCUUGUGAUGUAUAAUACAACCAAUUGUAAAUAAAAGGUU